AAGUCAUAUUUAAGUAUUAGUUUUUAUCGAUCGCACAACCCACUCGGUUUCAAAAGCAGCCUCACCCACACUCACUCAGCCUAUUCAAACUCUCCUUCCUCAGAUUCAUUCUCACCCGUCUCUCUCCAACCCCCUUUGUCUCACUACCUUCAUCAGAUCAAAUCGUGGAGGCUCCUGAGUUCCAUCGUCGCCAGAAAACCUUGGUAGGAACCCUCCACACACGAUCUCCACAAAAAAGGAUCUCGGAGCGGUGGAGGGUUGGGAUCGGCAGAGAGUUUGGAAUCGGAAUUGGAGGAGGUAUUCGCAGUUUUGAUAAAUGCAGGGUCAUGGAGGGGCAGUUUCUAGGGUUGGAUUAGGAGGCAUUCGAACUCGUCUUCAUCCCAAUACUCGAAGCUGGUGAAGGAAGGUUUGGGAAGAUGGAUGCAUGGUGAGUCCGAAUCGGGAAUCGGGAAUCGGGUUGGGAUCCGGGUCUGGUAGGGAUGGAUCAUGGAAGGUGAGUCGGGUUGGGAUGCGGAGGUGAGGAAAGGGCGGGUGCGAGUCGGAAGAGGGAGUGAGGAGUAGUCGUCAUUGUCCUCAUUUAUUUCGUCGCCGUAACCUUCGAAUUGGGAGUCGGCGAUAUGGAGGGAGGAGGGAGAGAAAGAGCAGUGGGAGAAGAGGAAGAGGAGGUCCCUGUCAUUUUUAAAGUACGAUUGUAUACUUGUAACAUGUGUUGGUUGUUCAGGUGCUAUGGAUACAAGUUAGCAGGUCCCUGUCAUUGCUGUUAAUGGUUAAGCCUCCAGUUUUCCUUGUGGUUGUUGGAAUGGGAAGGUAUGAAAUUCGCCCUAUUUCGUUGUGUUUUUCUGUUAUCACGAGAUUAAUGCUUUAAUACCAUAGUAGAAAUGGGAAUUUAUGCUCCUUUAGUUUAUUUCAAUUAAGUCACUUUUAGAUUAACAAUUAGCAUGCUUCCAGUUCUAGGACUUUAUAUUUACUUGUUGGGGAGUUGAGUUUUUUUAUACAGUUUGUAAGUGACCCCACUUCACAUACUCUGCAAGUAGCUAAACUUGGUAAUGAAUUUUUAUAGGCAAGUCAGAUGAUUUCUCAAACAUGAACUCAAAGACAGAUAGUAGAAUUGAUAUAAAAGUAAUGAUGUAUUUUAUAUGUUCUUAGGGUGCACUCCUUGUCCAAUGAUGUGUAAUUUUUGUUAAAAAGGUCGUACCCAGUGCACAAGGCUCCCGCUUGAUGCAGGGUCUGGGAGAGGUGAAUGUCGGCUAGCCUUACCCCCAUUUAUGUAAUUUUUGUUACAUAAACAAAAGGUUUGUCUCUUCGCAAAAAUAAUAAUCCAAAAGUUAUUAUGUGAUCUUUUGAUUGCCUUCGUAUCCAAUAUCUUAAAUCCCAUGGUGUAUUCAAACUGAGUAGAUUUGAUGGACAUUCUUCGUCUUAAGAAGAGCCAGACUUAUAUUAUGGAUUCUGCACAUCAGCUUGUUAGCCUUUAAUGCUCUUGCAAUAAAGGGCGUUUCAGUUCUCUGGUGAUAGUUGAUCAGUGUUUUCCUAGAAAGAAAAUGCCAAUGCAGUUCUCCUUGUUGCAAGCCAGGUGAGACUUAUGUACAUCUAUCCUCUCAAAACCUUGCACAUUUCUUGUUCUUUUUAAAGUUUACUUUCUCUGACCACUGUGAAAUAUGUUUGCCCUCCAACUGUUGAACUUCCCAUCCUUGGUGAAAAUGUGACUUGGUCUGCGAUCUCUCUUGUAGGCCAAAAUGACAUUAUUUAUAUUUAGGAUAAUUAUCAACUUUUGUCGUUGUAAGUAGCAAUUUACUACAAAGAAGUAUCAACUUUUGUCUUACUUAUCCACUUUUGUCGUUGUAAGUAGCAAGGUACGGUGAUGUUCUUAUAGUGGAAAAACUUAUAUAUUUCAAUUGCAUACUGUUGGAGGUUCUAUUCUUAUGUAA